rnacentral:rRNA from 1 species
UACGUAGGCAGCGAGCGUUAUUCGGAAUCACUGGGCGUAAAGGGUGCGUAGACGGCAUGUUAAGUUCGUUGUUAAAGGCUCCGGCCUAACCGGAGUACCGCGAUGAAAACUGGCGUACUAGAGGGUGAGAGAGAGAAGUGGAAUUCCUGGAGUAGCGGUAAAAUGCGUGGAUCUCAGGUGGAACACCAAUGGCGAAGGCAGCUUCUUGGCUCAUUCCUGACGUUGAGGCACGAAAGCGUGGGGAGCAAACAGG